UGGGGAAUAUUGGACAAUGGGCGCAAGCCUGAUCCAGCCAUACCGCGUGGGUGAAGUAGGCCUUCGGGUUGUAAAGCCCUUUUGUUGGGAAAGAAAUCCUGUCGAUUAAUACUCGGUGGGGAUGACGGUACCCAAAGAAUAAGCACCGGCUAACUUUCGUGC
rnacentral:rRNA from 1 species